AUUGAACGCUGGCGGCAGGCCUAACACAUGCAAGUCGAACGGUAACAGGAAACAGCUUGCUGUUUCGCUGACGAGUGGCGGACGGGUGAGUAAUGUCUGGGAAACUGCCUGAUGGAGGGGGAUAACUACUGGAAACGGUAGCUAAUACCGCAUAACGUCGCAAGACCAAAGAGGGGGACCUUCGGGCCUCUUGCCAUCGGAUGUGCCCAGAUGGGAUUAGCUAGUAGGUGGGGUAACGGCUCACCUAGGCGACGAUCCCUAGCUGGUCUGAGAGGAUGACCAGCCACACUGGAACUGAGACAUGGUCCAGACUCCUACGGGAGGCAGCAGUGGGGAAUAUUGCACAAUGGGCGCAAGCCUGAUGCAGCCAUGCCGCGUGUAUGAAGAAGGCCUUCGGGUUGUAAAGUACUUUCAGCGGGGAGGAAGGGAGUAAAGUUAAUACCUUUGCUCAUCGACGUUACCCGCAGAAGAAGCACCGGCUAACUCCGUGCCAGCCGCCGCAGUAA
rnacentral:rRNA from 1 species